UAUCUUUUUAUUCCGUAUUUAUACAGUAAGUACGUGUAUAAUGUUAUGAGGUUUUCAAUUGUUAUUUUACCCUCGAUAAGCGUAACGGGCCGUGUUACGAUGCGUUGGAUUCCGCAGUACUUACAGGGAUGACCCUAAACUGACGUGCUCCGAUGUCCGCGCGUAACUGCAGAGUCGUCGAAUAACGACAACGAAAUAUAUUCGUCUCAAAAACAAUAAGCGCAGGAUGUGCGGGCGUGUAGUCGCCGGGUGAUGUUACAGAUGUGCAGUGUAUGUUAUUAUUACGCGGCUCGUGUUUGAAGAAAAAAAUCAAAUCAAAUCAUCGUAUUUGACCGCAAAGUUAUCCGGAUAAAAUGUUUUGUUUCGAAUGGGCGGAUACACCGAGCGCGGUAGCGUACACCAACAGUCGUACCUAUAGUUGUCAGAAAUGCCGUACGGCGAGACGGGGUCAAUUAUUCGUGGAUAAUACGGGAAUGGAUAGGACAUGGCGGUUUUAAUCUCGAGGGAGGUACGGUCCUCGAAAAAGCGACCGACCGAGGCGAAUUAUCGAGCCUAUUGUGUUACCGAGCCCUAUACAAAUCGCAUUGCAGUUUCUUAUCAUUUAAG